GAUGAACGCUGGCGGCGUGCUUAACACAUGCAAGUCGAACGGAAAGGCCCCUUUGGUGGUCCUCGAUGGGCGGACGGGCGAGUAACACGGGAGUAAGCUGCUCAUCUCUCCGGGAUAACUGCAGGAAAAUGGGGAUAAUACUGUAAUGGAAUAUUUUCUGCCUGGCGGGGGUGGGAAAGCUUCGGAGGUCUUUGACGGCCUUGCGGCGUGUUAGCUGGUUGGUGGGGUAGUGGCUUACUGAGGCGUUGACGGGUAGCUGGCCUGGGCGGGCGAACGGCCACAUUGAGACUGAGAAGCGGCCCAGGCGCCUACGGGGGGCAGCAGUGGGGAAUAUUGCACAAUGGGCGGUAGCCUGAUGCAGCAACGCCGCGGGCGGGAUGACGGCCUUCGGGUUGUAAACCGCUUUCAGCAGGGGCGCAGCUUGUGGUGACGGUACCGGCGGAGGAAGCACCGGCUAACUACGUG
rnacentral:rRNA from 1 species